AAAAUAAUAAUUAAAUAAAUAAUAAUAAUUAUAAAUAAUAAUAAUAAUAAUAAUAAUAAUUAUAAUAAUAAUAAUAAAUAUUAAAAUAAUUAUGUGACAAAAAAGAGUGAAAAAAACAAUGUGCUGGACUGCAGCAGAGAUCUCUCCAUGUGAAGGCUGCACCGUCCUCCUCUCACAUUCCAGCGCGUCGCAAAAAAAGGGGAUUUAGAGCGACUUAUUUUCUUAAAAGUGUCCUCCCAUCCACAGAGCCAGCCAGUCUGCUCCCAUCAGCCUCACACGGGCCUGCGCCAAAAAAAAUCACCCACAAUAUUUACAGAGGAGUUCCCACCGAGACACACCGAGACACCGAUGACUUCCAUGUAGCACCGGAGCUGCAGUGUGCAUGCAGCCGGAGAUGAGGAGGCAUGAAGCGGGCAGAUAGAGGCAGAUAGAGGCCUCUUCUGCUGAUGGAGACAUUUUCAUUUAUUCCACUUGACACGCAAGAGGAAGAUGUGAAAGAAGAGAAAUAUGAAGAUUUCGAUCAGAGGAAGAAUGGAGCUGAAUGGAUCGUAACCCUGGAUUUCUUUUAAACUGCAGAGGAAAAAGUUUUGCUUUGAGUCUGAGGGGCGAGGAACUGCAACACAUUCAGGAGUUCGCCAACAAACAAACGGAUGCAAUUAAACACACUCGCCUUCAGAUCAUCAAUGAGGAGGCAAAGUCAAGACUGGUGGAAAAACAGACAAGGACAAAUGUAAGACGGGAGAAGACUCUACUGCCUCAAGGUUAAACUUGAACUGUGUUAAACACACAAUCUGGAUAGUUGUUGCUUCUUCAACAAACACACAUCACUGUCUGUUUUUUUUAUAUUAAACAUCCUCUUUUUACAACCUAAUGUAACUCUUAAUUGAUGUUAUAUUUUGGUAUCUAUGCUAAAAACAUGCUCUUUCUCUGUCUUGGAAGUAAUUAAAAUAUAAUGUGCAAAUAAAGACUACCAUUG